UCUUGACUUCCCUGCAAUGCGCUAACUUUUGUCGAAUUCGUUUUUGUUCAGUUCCAACCUAGUUUCGCACUAGUUCCAACCCCAAAACCGAUAGGUUCGCACUGUGAUAAAUCACGGUUUCAUGACUGGGUUCACCAAUACAACUUCAUACGAAUUGUCAAAAUUGUAACAACAAAAACUGUUCUUCAGUACAAACCAACAAAAAAACAUCCAAAAUGCAAAAUUGUGUGCUUGCGGUUACGCUCGCUGCUUCCGAAGUCAAAUUAUUUGAAUCAGAAUCUGAAUCAAAUUUUAACUCGAAACUCCUGCCAGUGCCUGUGAGGUGCAAAUUUGGUUUUAUCAGUUAUUUCGAAAAAAAAGAUAAUUAAGCGAAAGCGUGUGGGUAAUUUUAUGAACACCACGUCGUUCACUGAAAUAAAUCGAACCGAAUAUUUUAUUAGAAAUUCCAUAUCCAUUCAACUGUAUCUAUGUUGCAUAAAAUUCAUAUGGAUUCAUAUCCGUGUCAUCUGUCAAACAUUUCUGAUUCAACAGUGGCUUAGUGAAUAUUAUCGUCACUGGCUAACAUUGUUGUUAUAUGCAUUGAACAUAUAACCGGUACAUGUUUCGUACAUAGUUUCGACGGAUUCAAUGGCAUUGCGAUUGGCAUAUGCGUAUUCUUCAUAUCACCAGUAUGAUUUUAUUCAGUCGUCGCAACAGAUGGAGAAUAGCUUACGAACAGGCAAGGUUACUGAAGAAUCAGGAAGUUCUCUCUUUGCCUUUUGAAAAUAAUAAAUGCAUGUUCGACCCUAGCGCUCGUUCAGAAGCUGUAUCCUGAAAAUUGUUAGGAUCAAACCUGAACGGUAAAGAUCUUAUUGGCAAUGUAAAAAUGGCUAAGUAUUGGGCAACAUACUGGAAUCUAUCAUAUGUGGACAGGAAAGGAAAUUAGCAUUGUAAGUUAUUAAUAGCAGAUACCAUGUAGAUGAAACAGUAAAAAC